rnacentral:lncRNA from 1 species
GGCCGUCGAUUUGGGUAUGCAUAUAGAUGUGGAUCAGUUUGGACAGCGCCAGACUGGGUUUUUGGUCUGGCGCAAGGCCGGUGUCCAUAGGUCCGUCUCGUCGUCCCCGUCCUCAAGGUGAUCUUCGUUUUCGAUGGGAAUCUCCGGUGAGAGAGAAAAGGAGGAGAGAAGGCGAUUGGGUUUCCGGUCGAGUUCGUGAUUCCGGCCACGGCGGCGAGCGUGACCGGUAUUGGUAGCUUCCUCUCGUCCUCGUGGUCUUCCCUAUGUACUCAGUUUUUUCAGAAGAGGUCGGGAGAGAGAGAUUCGAAGUGGAGAACUUUUGGGAUUUUCCGGCGAGGGUUCGACGGAUUCCGACGACUUCUGUGUUCGACUCAGGUAUCAAUCUUCAUCCAGUCGUCGAGCUUUACGUUUAUGUAUAAUUGGAAUUGAGAUUGGUUGGGUGUUGAAGAAGGUGGAUUUUGGGCAGUGACCACCGUGGGUGACCACUGUUCACGGCGGCGGCGGUAGUUGUAGUUGUGGUUUCUGGGUUUGGUCUAUGUUUAGGAUGAAUAUUAACUAUUGAGUUAUAGUUGGAGUUGGAAGAAUCAUGAUUGUUGGAAGGUUGAAGUGUAUUGCUGGGAUUAAGAACAAGUGUUCCUAUCGCAAUUUGGUAUUGAUACUUGUAUAUUGAUUCCAUAAAUGGUGUCAUGAAACUUUGUUUUCAGAUUCGUCGAAGAGGAAUGGUGGAUUAGAUGACAAUUCAGAAAUGGUAUCAAGGGUAGAUAUUGGCCGGUGGAGGAGUUGAUUGUUAUAUUUGAUUAACUGAAAUGGAAGAAUUGGGUAUUUGGAAAGGCUAAGUUAUUUUGCUGGGUUGCUUAGGAAGUUUGAGAGCAGUACAAGACUUUAUAUGGAUUUGAAGUUUGGUAGUUUUAGUUACUGUGCUUGAAUUUCAAGUUGGAGAGGUGUGUUGACGAAUUGGGAAGUACGGCCAACUAUGAUGAUAUGAACUAAUGUAUAAUGGUGAUUGUUGGACUUUUGUGUUAUAGUGGAAGCUGCCGUAUAUGAAGACAUGUUCAUUGUGAAUAAGUUUACAAGUUACUUGUUAUGCGGGUGUAAAGGAGAAGACAAGAGUGAUCAUGAUUUAGAGAGGAAGUAAUUAAGAGGAUUUGGGUGUCCUUAGCAAAUUCUGAGGAUCUUUGAUCGUAUUUGGUUUGAAGUAAUUCGCUGACUUUCUUGGAAUAAGGUGAUACGUGGAUCGAAUGCAAGUAGCAGGAUUCCGAAAGCAGAAGGAUAAAGAUUUCAAAAUGCGUGUCGCAGUGUUACUAAUUUUAGCUAGCGUCGGAAGUAGCGUUUGGAAUCCAGGUAGGGUCUUUCUCGGGAACCUUUAUUUAUAUGGAUAAUUAGUUUACAAUUGAAAUUAAUGCUUGUGUGUCAUUGAGUGAUUAACUCUUGAUUGUUAUUGUUUUUGAUAAAAGUAUGUGUAAUCGGUGAUUUAUAUAAUUAAUGUUAUCGCUUUCUAUAAAAGCAUGUGUUGAAUGAUAUAUUAUGAGUAUUGAUAUUUGUUGCAUUCAUAAUGCAUUGUGAGGAAUUGUGAGAUUAGUGAGAUUGAUGAUUAUGGAGAGAUGAGAAUGAGAUCUAGAGAAUAGAUACAUUUUGUGUAGUUGAGUUUCCUCAUGGGGCAUCCAAGAUCUAUGAUUAGCCCACACGUGCACAUGUUUGGGAAAAGUAGGCCCUUUUGAUGACGGACAUCGAUAAAAAGAUCUUAUCGGGUUCCGGGUUGGGAAGACCAUAAGUAUAACAAGACGACUAACAAAAGAGGUACAUGUGGUGAGAUAUUACUAAUUUGUUAGGUCGUAUAUUUGAGACAUCUACACGGUAUGGGACGUGUAGGCUCAUAUGUCUUUGAUGUAUUGACUAAUAAGCCAGUAAUCGAGCGGAGGAAGUUCAUUUGCAUAUAUGCAUUGAAUUGUUAUUAUUUAUAUUUAAAGUGUUGUUUGUUAUUUGAUAACUUAAUUGGCCCUACUGAGCGUAAGCUCACCCCUAUAGAAUUUUGUUUAGGUUCCUAGGCAGACACGUCUUUCGAGAAGUCUAUCUGUGACGUUUAGUUAACUUGUACAAGAGUAGAAGAGUUACAGAAGAUUAGAAGCCACAAGACCUAUUUUGUUUUUGUAAUUGUUUUGUUAUUUGUAAACGUUUUAUUUUUUUUAUUUCAGAAAAAGUAUUUGAAAUUGUUUUAUUUUCUUUUACUUUUUUUGCUCACGCCUCGGAUUCGGUGUCAG